rnacentral:rRNA from 1 species
UGCCAGACUCCUACGGGAGGCAGCAGUGGGGAAUAUUGCACAAUGGGGGAAACCCUGAUGCAGCAACGCCGCGUGAGUGAUGACGGCCUUCGGGUUGUAAAGCUCUGUCUUCAGGGACGAUAAUGACGGUACCUGAGGAGGAAGCCACGGCUAACUACGUGCCAGCAGCCGCGGUAAUACGUAGGUGGCGAGCGUUGUCCGGAUUUACUGGGCGUAAAGGGCGCGUAGGUGGGCGCUUAAGUCAGGUGUGAAAACUCCGGGCGCAACCUGGAGACUGCACUUGAAACUGGGUGUCUUGAGGGCAGGAGAGGAAAGUGGAAUUCCUAGUGUAGCGGUGAAAUGCGUAGAUAUUAGGAGGAACACCAGUGGCGAAGGCGACUUUCUGGACUGUACCUGACGCUGAGGCGCGAAAGCGUGGGUAGCGAACGGGAUUAGAUACCCCAGUA